ensembl:lincRNA
ACUGAGACCACAUAAAACUAUGCAACAUUCUGAUAACUGUCCCACAUUUAGCACAGCCCCCAACUGGUCAUCAGAAUGACAAAUUACCCUUCAAUGAUGUAAAUUCUAAGCACUGUAGAAAAUCUCUAAGUUCAAUUAAAAUAAUUUAUAAAGUACAAGCUUCAUUUAACUAGUCUUUUCUAUGUAAAAUUAUAAUAUUUUACCAGAAAGUGCAUAUCAAUAUAUAUGUCUUGUCAUACACACAUGCAAAAAUAUGUACUGACUUGUGUAUUUGGGAUAUCUGUGUCCCAGAAAUGCUUUCUGUUAGCACCAUCAUACUGGAACACCUCUCACUUGAUGAAUAAGGAUUUUAAAUGUCUGAGGUGUUACUAGCUUAAUUAUUAGAAAUCCUGACCAAAACUGGCUUAGGUUAUUAUUAAUUUUAACUAUACCUCACAUAGGACUCGUAUUAUGACUUGUUCCUUUUCUCUUUUUUCUGGAACUGUCUUCCUUCACACAUUCACUUCAUCCCCAGAUUGAAAUGAAGGCAGUGACAACAGAUUCAGCCACUGCAUCCAAAUAUAACACUGUCCAAAGAAAAAAACAUGACCAUGUUUUUCCACAUCUCUCUGCCAGAUCCUUCCAGAACUCCUCUUUUGUGGUUUGAAUGAGCAAUCACACUCAUAGGCUCAUGCAUUUGAACACCUAGUCCCUGGUUGGUGGUCCAGUCCUGCUAUGGAACCUUUAGGAGGUGGACAGAGCCAUGUUGAAGAAAGUAUAGCAUUGGGGUAGUCAUUAUCACUUCCAGUUUACUUCCUGGUAGACAGAAAUGUGCUUGUUCCUCUUCCUGCCCCAGCUGCCUGCCUACCAUUGUGAGCAGAGAGAGUACCAUGGAAGAGAAGAUGCAGGUAACAACCACAAGCCAAAGAAUGCAAAGGGUUGUUUUCAACAAGGAAGGAAAGAAAGGUUUGCACCAUUCUGCAGUGGAAGCCUCCCUGGGAAGCUAAGCCUACAGACUCUUUGCUGUCAGACUUAAAUAUUCCAAGAACCAAGGGAGACUCCACUAAUUUCUGUUCUUUUCUGCCAUCCAGUUGUGGGUGAUUUCCUACAGUAGCCUGAGGCAAUUAACACAGGCAACCCCCCCCCCCCAAUUUUUUCCUUAUAGUCCUUGUUUGGUCACAUGUUCAUUUGUUUCUAAACUAAUCACAUAGAAGGAAACUGAUCAACACCCCUGAUUCAGAUGAGUCAUUUGUGGCAGAAGGCAUUGUAUGAAUAUGGGGGUCAACCACAAUGAACAAACCUGUCACAUUUGCUCUCUUUUUCCUUUUAACUUCAUAUGUUCAAUCAAAAAAAUUCUGUAGACUUUGCCUUACAAAGGUCUUUAUGUAUGCAUAUUUAUUUUGAAUUUUUGAUAUUUCAAAGCAUUGUGAUACCAUUUGAGAGAGGGGAAAAACAUGUCCGUAGUAUUUGGAACACACUGGAAUUUAUGUUCUGCAUAAAUUAAUAUGUUGAAAUUCUAAUGCUCAUGGUUAUUAGCAGGUAGGGCCUUUGGCAGGUUACUAAGAUACGAUGGCUUUCUUGUCCUGACUGCUACAGUGUCUCUAUAAGAAUAAUACAUGAAGUCAACUCUACCAGCACCUGGAAUACUCUAGCUCAAAGGAGGCAUUUGGCAGAGUGAGAUCCUACUAAAACCCAGACCUCAGACUUGCAGCAACCAGAGUGGCAAGGAAUGACAUUCUACUGCCUGUCAGCCACCCGGUCUGUGUUGGUUUGCUACAGAAGCUCAAAGGUUCGAAGACACCACACAUGCCCCGUUAACAACCUCACAAAUGGGUGAUUAUUUUUACUACUUUCUCAUACACUGUCCAAAUGUUUCUAGAUGAAAAUGUUUCUGUAUUGUUAUGGGUGCAUUGCCUGCACAUAAUGUGUUCCUUGC